rnacentral:rRNA from 1 species
UACGUAGGUGGCAAGCGUUAUCCGGAUUUACUGGGUGUAAAGGGCGUGUAGGCGGGAGAGCAAGUCAGAUGUGAAAUUCCAGGGCUCAACCCUGGAACUGCGUUUGAAACUGUUUUUCUUGAGUACCGGAGAGGUCAUCGGAAUUCCUUGUGUAGCGGUGAAAUGCGUAGAUAUAAGGAAGAACACCAGUGGCGAAGGCGGAUGACUGGACGGCAACUGACGGUGAGGCGCGAAAGCGUGGGGAGCAAACAGG